CAAUAGCGUAUAUUAAAGUUGUUGCAGUUAAAAAGCUCGUAGUUGAAUUUUUGCUUGCCGCCGAUGUCGGAACUUCCGUACGUUCGGCGGCGUGCAUCCUUGGGUGGAACCUGUGUGGCAUUAGGUUGUCGUGCAGGGGAUGCUCAUCGUUUACUGUGAAAAAAUUAGAGUGUUCAAAGCAGGCUUACGCCGUUGAAUAUAUUAGCAUGGAAUAAUAAGAUAGGACCUUGGUACUAUUUUGUUGGUUUGCGCACCGAGGUAAUGAUUAACAGGGACAGUUGGGGUAUUCGUAUUCCAUUGUCAGAGGUGAAAUUCUUGGAUUUCUGGAAGACGAACUACUGCGAAAGCAUUUACCAAGGAUGUUUUCAUUAA
rnacentral:rRNA from 1 species